UAAGCUCAUAAAUGAAACACAAGAGGAAUUAAACCAGCAAAGCCUGGUAACUAAUUAACAAAUUAAUCAUAUAUACAACCAAGAAAUAUUGCUGUCUAAUUCACCUCUGGAAUACUCUGGAGUGCUGGUUUCCAAGACCUAUGAUGAUGAUGAUGAUCCUCUAUCUCCAUUAUUUCAAAAUUAUCACCAGAGUUGAUCAACCGUGCAAGAACUUGUUCCAUAGACAAA
rnacentral:misc_RNA from 1 species